rnacentral:rRNA from 1 species
AGCGAACGCUGGCGGCAGGCCUAACACAUGCAAGUCGAACGGAUCCUUCGGGAUUAGUGGCGGACGGGUGAGGAACACGUGGGAACGUGCCCUUUGGUUCGGAACAACUCAGGGAAACUUGAGCUAAUACCGGAUAAGCCCUUCGGGGGAAAGAUUUAUCGCCAUUAGAGCGGCCCGCGUCUGAUUAGCUAGUUGGUGAGGUAAAGGCUCACCAAGGCAACGAUCAGUAGCUGGUCUGAGAGGAUGAUCAGCCACACUGGGACUGAGACACGGCCCAGACUCCUACGGGAGGCAGCAGUGGGGAAUCUUGCGCAAUGGGCGAAAGCCUGACGCAGCCAUGCCGCGUGAAUGAUGAAGGUCUUAGGAUUGUAAAGCACUUUGUCAGGGACGAUGAUGACGGUACCUGACGAAUAAGCUCCGGCUAACUUCGUGCCAGCAGCCGCGGU